AUUGAACGCUGGCGGCAGGCCCAACACAUGCAAGUCGAACGGUAACAGGAAGAAGCUUGCUUCUUUGCUGACGAGUGGCGGACGGGUGAGUAAUGUCUGGGAAACUGCCUGAUGGAGGGGGAUAACUACUGGAAACGGUAGCUAAUACCGCAUAACGUCGCAAGACCAAAGAGGGGGACCUUCGGGCCUCUUGCCAUCGGAUGUGCCCAGAUGGGAUUAGCUAGUAGGUGGGGUAACGGCUCACCUAGGCGACGAUCCCUAGCUGGUCUGAGAGGAUGACCAGCCACACUGGAACUGAGACACGGUCCAGACUCCUACGGGAGGCAGCAGUGGGGAAUAUUGCACAAUGGGCGCAAGCCUGAUGCAGCCAAGCCGCGUGUAUGAAGAAGGCCUUCGGGUUGUAAAGUACUUUCAGCGGGGAGGAAGGGAGUAAAGUUAAUACCUUUGCUCAUUGACGUUACCCGCAGAAGAAGCACCGGCUAACUCCGU
rnacentral:rRNA from 1 species